rnacentral:rRNA from 1 species
CGUAAAGCGCAUGCAGGUGGUUUGUUAAGUCAGAUGUGAAAGCCCCGGGCUCAACCUGGGAAUUGCAUUUGUAAACUGGCAAACUAGAGUACUGUAGAGGGGGGUAGGAAUUUCAGGUGUAGCGGUGAAAUGCGUAGAGAUCUGAAGGAAUACCGGUGGCGAAGGCGGCCCCCCUCGGACAGAUACUGACACUCAGAUGCGAAAGCGUGGGGAGCAAACAGGAUUAGAUACCCCUGGUAG